UUGGAGAAACAACUACAAAGGUUGGCAGAGAUAGACUAAAGACUUGGAACAAGAGCAAGCCAGCAUAGAGGAUCUGGCAAGGCAGCUGUGCUGGAAGAAAAUUGCACUUAGGGGCCUAUUUGCAAUGUGCCAAAAGCCAACGAAUCAUAUUCAUUGUAUUCGGAAAUCGAAGAUUCUGGCAUCUCCUCCCUUCUGCACAGCAACUGAUCCCGAUGCUGCUUGGCUGAAAUUGACAGGGAAGCAGGAGGAAACAAGGAAUCAUCAGUGAAGUUUAAGUCCAGCUAGUCCUUUAGCCAUUGUCUACUUAUAGAGACCUAGAAGCGUUAGCAUAAGAACAGAUACAAAGCAAUAAUUUAUUUAUUUGUACGGGGUUUUGACAAAUCUCUUGCUGUGGAUCAGGUGAAGUUCUAUAAAUCCUUUACCUUUAUGAGUGUAUGCAUGUGCUUGUAGCUAGUUGUAAAUGAUUUACAGGUUGUGUUUGAAUGCUAAUUUAAACCUGUAAAGGUCUUUUGAUUUAGAAGAUUCAGCCUAGCAGAAUUUUUAAUUGUUUCUAUUAUUUUUUCUUUUACACUGUAAAUGAUUUAUCGGCAUUUUUUAAUCUCCCAUU